rnacentral:rRNA from 1 species
AUGCACGCUGGCGGCGUGCCUAAUACAUGCAAGUCGAGCGAACAGACGAGGAGCUUGCUCCUCUGACGUUAGCGGCGGACGGGUGAGUAACACGUGGAUAACCUACCUAUAAGACUGGGAUAACUUCGGGAAACCGGAGCUAAUACCGGAUAAUAUAUUGAACCGCAUGGUUCAAUAGUGAAAGACGGUUUUGCUGUCACUUAUAGAUGGAUCGGCGCCGCAUUAGCUAGUUGGUAAGGUAACGGCUUACCAAGGCGACGAUGCGUAGCCGACCUGAGAGGGUGAUCGGCCACACUGGAACUGAGACACGGUCCAGACUCCUACGGGAGGCAGCAGUAGGGAAUCUUCCGCAAUGGGCGAAAGCCUGACGGAGCAACGCCGCGUGAGUGAUGAAGGUCUUCGGAUCGUAAAACUCUGUUAUUAGGGAAGAACAAAUGUGUAAGUAACUAUGCACGUCUUGACGGUACCUAAUCAGAAAGCCACGGCUAACUACGUG